AAUUAGCCCGGAUAGAGCCGAUAUCCUCCCCCGACGUGAGGAGGGGGAGAUACAGGCGAAAGCCGGAGGGGUG
rnacentral:misc_RNA from 1 species